rnacentral:rRNA from 1 species
GACGAACGCUGGCGGCGUGCCUAAUACAUGCAAGUAGGACGCAGUUGCGAACGGUUGAGUAACGCGUAGGUAACUACCUAUUAGAGGGGGAUAACUAUUGGAAACGAUAGCUAAUACCGCAUACUAUUAGAUGGACCUUCGUUGUAUUAGCUAGUAGGUAGGGUAAUGGCCUACCUAGGCAACGAAACAUAGCCGACCUGAGGGGGUGAUCAGCCACAACGGGACUUAGGAACGGCCCAGACUCCUACGGGAGGGAGGAGUAGGGAAUCAUCGGCAAUGGGGGGAACUCUGACCGAGCAAAGGCGCGGGAGUGAAGAAGGUUUUCGGGUCGUAAAGCUAUGUUAUUAAGGAAGCGGUACUUAACCAGAAAGGGACGGCUAACUCCGUGCCAGCAGCCGCGGUAAUUC